UUCAUCACCAGCAGUCAUAUGAAGCAAAUUGAAUUACACUCCAUUCCAAUGGCUGGUAGCAACAACAAUGAUCAGUCAUAACAAAUUUAUUCAAAUGAUUUGAUGUUGAUGAAUCUUUGUGGUAUCGUUAUGAACAUUUUUGACAAAUAUUCAUUACUACAUCUCUAAUUUUCUGUUUGAUGUUUAUAAUAGAAGUUGUAAAAUUGCCUAUUAUUCUACUUUGGUGGCCAAGCGCUCCUCACCAGUCAAGCAGCAUUUGUCUUUUGGCUCAGCGAUUGAUUGGCUACUUGUGACGCCACGCAGACUGAUUGGCAUGUUAUAUUACAGCAUCGAGAGAGCUUUUCGAGAGUAGAUGAGUCAUUAUGUUAUCAAAUCAAUCUCGCGUUAGUGUGAUGUCACACGCAAUAGGUCUGCAUGGCACCCAAUUGGGUCAAACAAGGCUUAUGUCAAAAUGAUUAACGGUACGUUCACACAGGGUGUAAGCGUUAACGCUUCCCAUUCACUUUUAAUGGGUGAUGUCAUGCGUUGCCGAACUGAAUUGUGGAUCAGUAGGCGCGGCGUCCCUGCCGUUGCUCACGUCAGAAGUUGAACAUUUCUCAACUUUUCAAGCGGCAAUGUGUGUGUGUCAGCCAAUCAGAUCGCCUAAUGCAAAUAACCUAGGAACAGCCAUUCAAUUACAUUUAUGGAAGACCAGAGCAUGUGUUGCGGCCACUGUGAUUGGCUGUUGGCCAUGCUUUAGACAAAUGGUUUUUUGGUUUUAGUCACAUUUUAGUCACUUAUAAAUUGAUAGUUUUAGUCGACGAAAACACAAAAAGGUUUUAGUCAAGUUUUAGUCGAUGAAAACGCAAAAAGGUUUUAGUCAAGUUUAAGUCAAUGUUAGUAAAAAAAGUAGUCUUUAACAAAUUAAUUUAGGUUAAAAAGAUUGGUGUAUUUAAUUCUAUUAAAAUGUGCAUUAAGGUUGUCCCUGAGGGCUUGCCGUUGUUUUAGUCAUUGUGCCUUCUGUGCAUGUCAUAACAAAAAAGUUGAGCCUGAUAUACCCUCAUGUUGAGUUUGUGUGUUACGCUGAGACCUCGCUUAUAAAGUUGAGAAACGGGUGCCUUGCCUUGUUAUUUAAAUACACCACAAAAAGUAUUGGAAAUGGGCUUAGGUUUGACAAGUAGAAACAUGUAAAACCUUAAGCUUACCAUGAACAAGCCCAAUGUCUAGGAAAAUUGAAUGUAUAUGAUAUGUUAACAGCGUGACUUGUAUUACAAAUGAAUACACUUUUGUGUCAAUUCUUUAACUUAAAACACACACAAUGACAAUUUAAUGGUUGUCAUUUUUCAGCAUAUUAUCGGUGAUAUUAACAAAUGUGUGCAAUCAGUCAAAAUGACAGAAUGUCACAUUUUAUUAACAUUAUGCUUUUCGAACCAAGAACAACAACCUUAUAUCCUGACUUAUGUGUUUUGUCACAACAUGCAAGACUCAGACUAAAGGGCAAUUUAUAGUCGUGCGUAGGUACGGCUUAGGCUAUCCGUAGCCUGUGCGUAGCUCUGCGUAGCCUGACGCGCACCUCACAAAAUUUCUAACAGCGCGUCGGCUCUACGCGGACCGCAAGCUCUGUGAUUGGUCCACCAGAACCCCUCCCGUCAGGUAAAAAAACUGCGUCAUAGGCAAAGUGUCCGCGCAAUAGAUUUGUCAGACCGCGCACAUUUUUCAGACCGCACAUAAACAUUGAUGCAUUUGCUGUUGUAAAAGAAUUAAGAGAGAGAGAAGGCGAGUGUUCUAGAAGGAGAAGAAACUUUCAACCAAUCGCUGAUCUUGCUACGGUGACAGACACUUUUAUGAGCCAAUGGUAGCAGCGCAUUCAGUUCACACAGUGACGCUGCCAGCACGCACGAGCACAGAGUGAGAGCGAGCCAGAUGAGCAGCUGCACGGGUCGAUCUCAAGAAACUAAAAUAUUUAUUAAGAGGAAAAAGUUCAAAUUCAAAACAGUGAUUUAAAAAAAAUUAUUGGAUUCCUGAAGUGAUGCGAUAACUUGGAAAAGCUGUCGCUAGAGUGAGGAGAGAGCAAAAUAGAGAAUUAGAACGGAGGCAGAUUCAGAAUCACAGAGCAUCAAAACACUGCGAAUGAACUUCUUCUUUUAAAUAAGAAGUUAAAAUGUAUGCUUUGGCUGGGUUUUUUUGUGAGAAUUUCGAACAUCUGUAAAGUUCUCCUGCUCCAUCUUGGACACGCGAGACAAUUAAGUGAAGGUGUAUACAAAAAGG